rnacentral:rRNA from 1 species
AACGAACGCUGGCGGCAGGCCUAACACAUGCAAGUCGAACGCCGUAGCAAUACGGAGUGGCAGACGGGUGAGUAACACGUGGGAACGUACCUUUCGGUUCGGAAUAACUCAGGGAAACUUGAGCUAAUACCGGAUACGUGCGAGAGCAGAAAGAUUUAUCGCCGAAAGAUCGGCCCGCGUCCGAUUAGCUAGUUGGUGAGGUAAUGGCUCACCAAGGCGACGAUCGGUAGCUGGUCUGAGAGGAUGAUCAGCCACACUGGAACUGAGACACGGUCCAGACUCCUACGGGAGGCAGCAGUAAGGAAUAUUGCUCAAUGGCCGAAAGGCUGAAGCAGCAACGCCGCGUGGAGGACGAAAUACUUUUGUAUGUAAACUCCUGUAAGAAGGGAAAAUAUUCCGAUUUAUCGGGAUUGAUUGUACCUUCAGAGUAAGCCCCGGCUAACUACGUG